rnacentral:rRNA from 1 species
UACAGAGGGUGCGAGCGUUGUCCGGAAUCACUGGGCGUAAAGGGCGCGUAGGUGGCGGCCCAAGUCCAUGGUGAAAGCUCGAUGCUCAACAUCGAGUCGGCCACGGAUACUGGGUUGCUCGAGCACUGUAGGGGCAGAUGGAAUUCCGGGUGUAGCGGUGGAAUGCGUAGAGAUCCGGAAGAACACCGAUGGCGAAGGCAGCCCCCUGGGUCAAGAUUGACGCUCAUGCACGAAAGCGUGGGGAGCAAACAGG